rnacentral:rRNA from 1 species
UGCCUAUACAUGCAGUUCGAGCGGAGUUGAUAGAGAAGCUUGCUUCCUCUGAUACGUUAGCGGCGGACGGGUGAGUAACACGUAGGCAACCUGCCCUCAAGUUUGGGACAACUACCGGAAACGGUAGCUAAUACCGAAUAAUUGUUUUCUUCGCCUGAAGGAAACUGGAAAGACGGAGCAAUCUGUCACUUGGGGAUGGGCCUGCGGCGCAUUAGCUAGUUGGUGAGGUAACGGCUCACCAAGGCGACGAUGCGUAGCCGACCUGAGAGGGUGAUCGGCCACACUGGGACUGAGACACGGCCCAGACUCCUACGGGAGGCAGCAGUAGGGAAUCUUCCGCAAUGGGCGAAAGCCUGACGGAGCAAUGCCGCGUGAGUGAUGAAGGUUUUCGGAUCGUAAAGCUCUGUUGCCAGGGAAGAACGCUUGGGAGAGUAACUGCUCUCAAGGUGACGGUACCUGAGAAGAAAGCCCCGGCUAACUACGUGCCAGCAGCCGCGGUAAUACGUAGGGGGCAAGCGUUG